rnacentral:rRNA from 1 species
CAAGAGCGUAUAUUAAAGUUGUUGCAGUUAAAAGCUCGUAGUUGGAUUUCUGGUACAACGCGCCUGGCCCGCUUUUGUGAGUGCCGGUGCGCGUUUGCCAUCCUUCUAGAAAACGUUUCUACCCGGGUAACUGGGCUGGACUCGCGAUCUAGAUCUUUUACUUUGAAAAAAUUUAGAGUAGUUUAAAAGCAGGCUUUUGCUGUGAAUACAUUAGCAUGGAAUAAUAAUCUAGGACUUCGGUUCUAUUUUGUUGGUUUCUAGUACUGAAGUAAUGAUUGAUAGGGAUAGUUGGGGGUGCUAGUAUUGGCCGGCCAGAGGUGAAAUUCUUGGAUUCGGUCAAGACUAACUUAAUGCGAAAGCAUUCACCAAGGAUGUCUUCUUUAAUCAAGAACGAAAGUU